CAGUCGUACCUGCGGACAAUCAGCUUUUGAGUGUGAUUAUGUGGAUUGUGAGGAGUUUAAUCACCCUCAUGUUUUACGUAUUCGUGCUCUUGGGUGUACUUGCCCGUGUAGUAAGUUAACAUCAAUUUUGGUGAUCAUAAAAUGACUGGAGGAAUGUAGCUUCGAUCUUGUAUUGAAGUGUUAUAGACUCUGGUAGAUGUGACGAUUGGGAUUGGAGGAUUGCAACGGAUACCCUUCGGGGUUACUCGUCUGAUCUCCGAAGGUUGCUCGGUGCCGAAGCGUGCUUACGGUCAUCGAAAGU
rnacentral:rRNA from 1 species